rnacentral:rRNA from 1 species
AACGGCCGUACCAUGCUGAAUAUACCGGUUCUCGUUAGAUCACCGAAGUUAAGCAUCAUUGGGCGCAGUCAGUACUUGGGUGGGUGACCACCUGGGAACACUGCGUGCCGUU